rnacentral:tRNA from 1 species
GCCCGCAUAGCUCAGCUGGUAGAGCAGCUGAUUUGUAAUCAGCAGGUCGGGGGUUCGACUCCCUCUGCGGGCUCCA